rnacentral:rRNA from 1 species
GACGAACGCUGGCGGCGUGCUUAAUACAUGCAAGUCGAACGGACAGGCGCUGCUCUUGCGGGGUGCACGAGUGGGGAACGGGUGAGUGACACGUGAGUAACAUGCCCCUGUCUUUGGGAUAUCAUCUGGAAAAUGGGGCUCAUACAGGGUAGGAGAUACUGCUGCGUGGGGGUGGUUGGUGAGAUUCGGCGGUGUGGGAUGGUAUCGAGGGUUAUCAGCCUGAUGGUGAAGUAGUGGCUUACCAAGUCUAUGAAGGGUAGCCGGCCUGGGAGGUUGACCAGCCACAAUGGUACUAAGAGACGGCGCAGACUCCUACGUGACGCAGCAGUGGGGAAUAUGGCACAGUGGGCGCAAGCCUGAGGUAGCAACGCCGCGUGCGGGAUGAUGUGCUUCGAGUUGUAAACCGCUUUCGCCGGUGACGAAGCCUGAGUGACGGUAACUGGUAAAGAAGCACCGGCUAACUACGUG